GACGAACGCUGGCGGCGUGCCUAAUACAUGCAAGUUGAACGCUAAAACUUUAACUGGUGCUUGCACCGACUUAAGUUUUUAGAGUAGCGGACGGGUGAGUAACACGUGGGUAACCUGCCCAUCAGAGGGGGAUAACACUUGGAAACAGGUGCUAAUACCGCAUAAUUCCUUUUACCGCAUGGUAAAAGGCUGAAAGGCGCUUCUGGUGUCACUGAUGGAUGGACCCGCGGUGCAUUAGCUAGUCGGUGGGGUAACGGCCUACCGAGGCGAUGAUGCAUAGCCGACCUGAGAGGGUGAUCGGCCACAUUGGGACUGAGACACGGCCCAAACUCCUACGGGAGGCAGCAGUAGGGAAUCUUCGGCAAUGGGGGGAACCCUGACCGAGCAAUGCCGCGUGAGUGAAGAAGGAUUUCGGUUCGUAAAGCUCUGUUGUAAGAGAAAAACGACCUUAGUAGGAAAUGGCUAAGGAGUGAUGGUAACUUACCAGAAAGUCACGGCUAACUACGUGCCAGCCGCCGCAGUAAAAC
rnacentral:rRNA from 1 species